GUGAACGCUGGCGGUAGGCCUAACACAUGCAAGUCGAACGGCAGCACAGUAAGAGCUUGCUCUUACGGGUGGCGAGUGGCGGACGGGUGAGGAAUACAUCGGAAUCUACUUUUUCGUGGGGGAUAACGUAGGGAAACUUACGCUAAUACCGCAUACGACCUACGGGUGAAAGCAGGGGAUCUUCGGACCUUGCGCGUUUGAAUGAGCCGAUGUCGGAUUAGCUAGUUGGCGGGGUAAAGGCCCACCAAGGCGACGAUCCGUAGCUGGUCUGAGAGGAUGAUCAGCCACACUAGAACUGAGACACGGUCCAGACUCCUACGGGAGGCAGCAGUGGGGAAUAUUGGACAAAGGGCGCAAGCCUGAUCCAGCCAUACCGCGUGGGUGAAGAAGGCCUUCGGGUUGUAGAGCCCUUUUGUUGGGAAAGAAAAGCAGCAGGUUAAUACCCCGCUGUUCUGACGGUACCCAAAGAAUAAGCACCGGCUAACUUCGUG
rnacentral:rRNA from 1 species